rnacentral:rRNA from 1 species
GACGAACGCUGGCGGCGUGCUUAACGCAUGCAAGUCGAACGGUAAGGCCCUUCGGGGUACACGAGUGGCGAACGGGUGAGUAACACGUGGGUGAUCUGCCCUGCACUUCGGGAUAAGCCUGGGAAACUGGGUCUAAUACCGGAUAGGACCAUGGACUUCACGGUUUGUGGUGGAAAGCUUUUGCGGUGUGGGAUGGGCCCGCGGCCUAUCAGCUUGUUGGUGGGGUAAUGGCCUACCAAGGCGACGACGGGUAGCCGGCCUGAGAGGGUGUCCGGCCACACUGGGACUGAGAUACGGCCCAGACUCCUACGGAGGCAGCAGUGGGGAAUAUUGCACAAUGGGCGCAAGCCUGAUGCAGCGACGCCGCGUGAGGGAUGACGGCC